UCCUCCGUGGCGCAAUUGGCUAGCGCGGCUGACUGUUAAUCAGGAGGUUGAAAGUUCGAGCCUUUCCGGGGGAG
rnacentral:tRNA from 2 species